GAUGAACGCUGGCGGCGUGCCUAAUACAUGCAAGUAGAACGCUGAAGGAGGAGCUUGCUCUUCUGGAUGAGUUGCGAACGGGUGAGUAACGCGUAGGUAACCUGCCUGGUAGCGGGGGAUAACUAUUGGAAACGAUAGCUAAUACCGCAUGACAACAGUUAUUGCAUGAUAACUGUUUAAAUGGGGCAACUGCUCCACUACCAGAUGGACCUGCGUUGUAUUAGCUAGUUGGUGAGGUAACGGCUCACCAAGGCGACGAUACAUAGCCGACCUGAGAGGGUGAUCGGCCACACUGGGACUGAGACACGGCCCAGACUCCUACGGGAGGCAGCAGUAGGGAAUCUUCGGCAAUGGACGGAAGUCUGACCGAGCAACGCCGCGUGAGUGAAGAAGGUUUUCGGAUCGUAAAGCUCUGUUGUAAGAGAAGAACGAGUGUGAGAGUGGAAAGUUCACACUGUGACGGUAUCUUACCAGAAAGGGACGGCUAACUACGUG
rnacentral:rRNA from 1 species